rnacentral:rRNA from 1 species
AUGCAGUCGAGCGGUAGAGAGAAGCUUGCUUCUCUUGAGAGCGGCGGACGGUCGAGUAAUGCCUAGGAAUCUGCCUGGUAGUGGGGGAUAACGUUCGGAAACGGACGCUAAUACCGCAUACGUCCUACGGGAGAAAGCAGGGGACCUUCGGGCCUUGCGCUAUCAGAUGAGCCUAGGUCGGAUUAGCUAGUUGGUGGGGUAAUGGCUCACCAAGGCGACGAUCCGUAACUGGUCUGAGAGGAUGAUCAGUCACACUGGAACUGAGACACGGUCCAGACUCCUACGGGAGGCAGCAGUGGGGAAUAUUGGACAAUGGGCGAAAGCCUGAUCCAGCCAUGCCGCGUGUGUGAAGAAGGUCUUCGGAUUGUAAAGCACUUUAAGUUGGGAGGAAGGGCAGUUGCCUAAUACGUAACUGUUUUGACGUUACCGACAGAAUAAGCACCGGCUAACUCUGUGCCAGCAGCCGCGGUAAUACAGAGGGUGCAAGCGUUAAUCGGAAUUACUGGGCGUAAAGCGCGCGUAGGUGGUUUGUUAAGUUGGAUGUGAAAUCC